rnacentral:misc_RNA from 1 species
AUGGAUUACACAAUGUCAAAGAUGUGAAGCCUCAGAUAUCUCUUCUAUCAAUCUGUGGUUCACAAGUCGAUAAAAAUCAAAUCUGUAUCUUUUCAUGUCUAUUAUGAGUGAAAAAAAAAAAAAAGAAAAUAUCAAUAGUUAUCUCUUUGAAUGAGUUGCUGCAGCCCUAAUAAAGCGAUGAGUCAACAGCUCGUUGUCUCUUGCUCAAACUGUUCUCUGGGCAUCAAUGGUUUUGAACUCUUAGACAAUUUGCGAUGAUCCUUUUUCUCUUCUCGUGC